CGGGCCGGGGCCGCCCGGGACGCGCCCGCCGCGCUCCGCCCGCGGGGAGAGCGGCUCUCUCUGGCCCGUGGGGAGCGCGGCUCUCUCUGGCCCCGCGGGAAGCGCGGCUCUCUGGCCCCGCGGGGAGCGCGGCUCUCUCUGGCCCCGCGGGGCGGCCGCCGGGCAGGCUGUGCCAUCGCGGCGCGGGCUCGGCGCCUGGCGAGGCGGCCGUCGCCGCGGUAAGAUGUGGGCGGUGUAACCCGACAGCGGGUCGGAGCUGUCCUGCCGGGAGGGUGACGGCACGCGGAAUGACCUUGCGCCCACAGAUGCAGAAGAAACCAUACUGCAUGGUCAUGGGGAGGUGUCACCUAUAGAUAGUAACCUAACUCAACCCAUAAUACUGCGUAUAUGGAGUGCAAAGGAAGGUCCAGGGCUUGGAGCAUCAGUUGGGAUCUCAGGAAAUGGAGACAAUUCCUGUUCAUUCUUGCCUGACCUAGGGUAAACCACAUACACACAACAACUUGGAAGUGUUUGGAUACCUACCUCCCACUUAGCUGAGCAAGAAUGAAAAUCUGUGCCCUAUCAGGAAAACACAGAUGGCUGUAUAGAUUUGAAAAGUACAAUCAAGAGGGAAACUAAUGAAACAAGGAAUAAGGAGUUGAAAUUCAUCUCAGUUUUGAUCCAAAAGGGACCACCAGACUGUUUUUGCAAGAUUCUGCCACUGCUGUGGUCAUCGGAGAAAUCAACUGAAACCAUCUUAGUUUUGAAGAAGUAAUGAUAAAGAAGUAACAUGAAAGACUAGCCUGAAUAAAAUCUUCGAACUAGAAGAUGAACCAGAUAAAAGAUACACAUUUCCCAAUUCACUGCUAUUUGUCUUUGUGAAUUUCUGGCAAAGCAAGUGCUCCCUUGAGUUCCCCAGAUGCCCUAUUCAGUUGCACAACCCAAAGUAUGGGUAACGUUUCAUGAAAAAAGGAAAUAGGAAAAUAGCAUCUAUGAAUCACCAUUUCUGAGUGCAAGGAUGUUUUAAAUUCAUUUUGGUUUAUAUUUAAUAAAAAAAUUUGCAUACAAACUUGCUAGAAUGUAUGUUAGUCAAAAUGUACUAUGCUCCCCUAGAAGGAGCUGGGGAGGGAAAAUAUGAACUGCAACAUUCCGUGGGCUUCUGCAGUACUGCAUCUGCUCUCAAUUAAAGUGAGAUGUGGUUUCUAGGACUGUAUCUAUAGUAUUUAUCUUACAACCAUUUUUAAGAAUUAUUUUGCAAUGAUUUUAUGAAUUGCAAUUGCAGCUUAAAGAAAGGGGUGUUACAGUAGUGACCAUAUUGUCUGCAUAUUCUUUCUGUUGAGAAUCCCAGUGCAUAUCAUGUUACUGUCAGAGAUUUAAGGAACCAUCUAUGAAGUACCAGGAUGUGAACAAGAUUUAAAUAAUUAAAUCCACUACAUCCAUGGAAGACACUCUCUGGUGAGGAACAAAAGGAGAGAAAAUGUACAUGCUUCCAAAAGCCUAGAGAAAGACAGCUGGCAAACCACUGUCACUAGGUUCUGCACGGUGGAAAACAAACACAGACAAGCUUUGAACUUAGAACUCUUAAGUGCAUAAAAUAGAGCUUCAUUCUUCUAUGUAAUUUUUUCCAUCCCCCUUCAUCUGAAGCCAGUGGGGAACUUCCAUCUCAGUUAGUGACCAGCUCAAACAUUAAUAUGCAAGGUUAAGAAAGGGCAUUCUGUUUAAGAAGGAUAAAAUCUACCAAUAAAUUCUAAUUCAAUCCCAAAUAGUUCCCAGAAACAGGUCUAUUCAUACCUGCCAUGUGAAAUCACUGCUCGCAGCAUAUGGCAGCUGUCAGAUGAUCUAUAUUAUAGCAUAGUUUCUGCUUCUCCCUGACUCUGAGUGGUUUAUUAUUUACCAGCUUUGUGUGAAAGGGGUGGUUGCAGCCAAAAUUCAUUCCCUCUGCCCUUUCUCUUGUCAGCCCUACCAAAUUGUUACCACUCCUGUAUGGUGUAUGGUACAACCAGGUAGCUCUGCUAGCUGCUGAGCAAGGUAAAAAUACCCACCUUAUGCUUAUGAUGUAGGGCAAAAAGAAGACCCCAAACCAAAUAUUGAGAGUUCACUUAUCCCCCAGCAUCAUUCCACACUGGCAGAUGUUGUCCUCUCAGGUAUUAUCCUGUAACUCAAAACAUUCAUAGAGUCUAACUGGGUGUGCUCAGCCCCACCCACAGGAACUGGACUAUAAGAACAGCAAAACUAGAGAAUAUGAGUGCUUGAAAACUCCAGAGGGCAUAGGUACUUCUGAUGAAGCAACCUUUAGAGGCAGACAUGAGGGUCCAGAAUGAGCAGGGUUGGUGGGUCAGUUUGACAGCCAGCUCCUCUUGUUCUUUGGACAGAUCACAGAUGUGUCCCAAGAAUCUAAUCAGGAUAAUCCUUUGCCAGGAGUAUGUUGAUUACAGAAUAUAAAACAUAAAAAUCAAGCCUCCAAAGCUCUAAUAGGCGCAGUAACAGAGGAAAAAAUACUUUGUGUUCUGAUCUGCUUUUAAGGAAUAGCCCUGCCAACAAAACCACAGAAAUGUCAACAAGCCCAUCACUUAACCAAUAUGAGGUUUGCAAAACUGUACUAAACUAGUUUAAUUCAUAUAGUUUUGGAAAAAAGGGUUAGUCCAGAAAUGUUUCCCCAAUAGAAGCAUAAAUUAUCCACAAUAUUUAGGCAGAAGGAUGUGCAGUAGACAUGUCCAUAUAAUCAGGCAUUCCCAUUUUUGAGUGGCUGAAAACACUCUUUUUAUUUCAUAGCAGCCACUACAGAGAAAAAGGUAGUGACCACUUGUUACCAGUCAGUGUGAAAGUUAGUACUCUUCCCAACCCAGCAAUCCAAGGUCACUGGCCAGCUUAAUAUUAAAAAGAUCACUUUUCAAAGCUGUGUGCUGCAUUACUAUUGAAACAGUAACUUCUAAUUACAGCACAGCAUAUUCGAGUUGCUCCUUUGCUGUAACUAAAAAUAUUUUGGAAGAUGAAAUAGUUGAGAAUUUCUAUAUUCCAGAGAAAGGGCAAAGAAGCAGAAAAAGCAGGCAGCAGUUAGUGGUCUCAGAUGGCCCUUCCCAGUUGAAUUGUUUGUACCUGACACUUUUUCAGCCAGCCCUUAUUAACAUUUACAGACUACAGUAGUAGACUGCUACACUGAUGUCACAGAAGAAAAUAAUUAACAUUUCUCAAGCAGCUGAAGCAGUGAAAAAAAGAGACAAAUUCAUGUCAACAGAUGUGUUUUACCACUAAUGAUUGUGAAACCAUUAUAAUUAUAAUUGCUUAGACUUCCCAUUAUAAUAAAGUCACCAUAAAUUGUUGACUAAAUAAAAAAUAACAUCAAUAUACAUAACACUGAAAGCAGAUGACUGAGAUUUUUGAACCAGAAGCCAUUGCUGGAAAAGGACAAAUGCUUUUGAGAGCUGGUCACUUAUUUGCUAAAUAUAUUGUUUUAAAAAUAAAUCUACAGUUCAUGGCAACUAGAUAAUUUCUUUCAAGGCUCUGAAUGUGCUCCUACCAAUUUGUAAAGAGUGGUCCUAUACUGAAAUUGGCCAUUGACAGAAAGCAAAAUGGGAGACAAUUCAGCAACUUCUAGAGCACCAGUUUAACUAAUCAAAUAAGUUUGCUUAUAGGGCCCAGUCCUGCAAGAAUCUUAGGGUAAUAAGUCCUUGGUCUCAACAGAAUUUGAGCAGGAUAAGCACCUUGAAGGUUCAGUUCUUAAGACUAAAAAAUAAGUCAGAAGAAAACUUGCAUGAGGACCUAUGAAGAUCUUAAAAACAUUUAGCAAAAUGUGAAGCAAUUGGGAUAAUUUAGAGGACUGCUGCAAAUAUUUAUUGUCAAGGUAAAGAAGCCACCCAUUCAUAUUUAAAAUAUUCACUGAUUUUGCUGCUUCUUUUCUCGACUGCAGUUUUAGCUGUCUCAAGGGGAUGCCACAACUGGCAGACUUCUAAAACUAGUGGAUUUACCAAAAUUACAGCCCCAGAAUCUUUUCUGUUUCUCCCUAUUUUGCAAAAAUUACAGCAGGCAGACAUAAACAUAUUUCUAUGUGUGUUAGAUUUAUCGAAUCUUAAUCUCUGUUUAUAUUCUCUUCAUACUCUAGUAAUUGACAUUCCUGUAAUGUAUCCUACUUUGUCACAGUGGCAAGAGACUGAGUGGACCAGACAAACUUUUAAAAGGCAAUAAGUGAGAUCAUAUUAAUUUAAGCACUCUUCCACUUGAGACCUUCAUACAAUUAAAAAAAAUAAUGCUAUGAAAUCUAUAUACUUAAUGUGUUCCACAAAAGCCACCAACAAUAAACUUAUUUAUAAACAA